rnacentral:lncRNA from 1 species
CUUAUGUUAGAUGUAUUCAUUUAUUUCUAUUCACCAUGUUUGUCUCAAGGUAUUGUAAAAUGUAUAUUUGCUAGAACAGUAGGAAAUCUUUUAAGAUUAUCAAAAUAGUUGAAUUAUUAAUAUUGUUGAAAUAAUUGAAAUGAAGAAUGAUUUUACAGCUAUCACAUGAGUGCCUAAAGGGAUGCAUGGGCUAUGGUGAUUGCCUCACCAAAGCUAUUUGACAACUCUAAAGGAGAGCUUGAGGUCAGACCAGAUAUUAUAAAAUUAUUCAUAUAUGGCCAGCUAUAAUGAGGUAGGAAUUAAGUUAUCCCUUGUUUUCUCUUCUAUUAACCAUGUUAUCAUAUAUUCUUGCUUAGUUUUUUCUUUAUUUUUAAGAAAAUAAGUGCAUAAUCCAAUCAUAUUCUUGCCUUCUUAUUUUAAAAAUGAAUUAGGUAACGUAUUAGGAUUGAUCAAGAAAUUCUUCUCAUUGUAUUUAAGAGUUUUCCCAUUAGAAAAAUAAAUUCAGAUAUUUCAUCUUCUUUAAGUUUCAAUUCUUUUAUGUUUUUUUGAUUUUUAUUGCUUGCAAAAAUAAAUUUUAGAUGUUUCCCCUAUGUCUCAAUUCUACUUUGUUUUUGCAUUAAUUGGAGAACAUUUUCUUGGUUAUGGAUUAAACCACACUUGUGUAUUUUAAGUUGAAAAUCAAAAAAUUUCAAAUCUCUGGUUAAUCUUUGAGGAUCUGAAUAAUGUCAUAUAUAACACGUAUAGAUUUGAUUAUCUGAUACAUAUGCACUGCUGAUAAUCUUAGAUUACAUUGUGAUGCUUGGAGAUUGCAGCUUGUUAAAUUGUAGAACUGCUGUAUUGAUAUUGUUAAGAUUUUCUUGUUAGAUAUUAAGAUUUAUAUAGAAAUUGUCCGACCAAAGGCUUUUUCCUUUAUUUUUUUUGAUUUUUUCAAAUUAUUCUGAUAUGACUAAGAUGUGCUUGGCAUAGAUUUUUGAAAUUAUAUAUCGCAUAACCUACUUUGGAUAUUGAUAGAUGGUAAAAGUUUACUUGGGAUAAAAUCUUUCACAGAUUUCAAUGGCAUAAGUUUCAUCCAUUAUUGCUCUCAUGGUUAAGUCACAGUAUCAUAUAUAUCAGUUCAAUAUUAUUGUACGUAUAUAUUUUAUAACAACUAAUUCAAUAUUUUGAUGUACUUUUAGCAUCAUAUAUCAAUUUAGUAUUAUUGUAUGCAUAUAUUUGAUCACAACUAAUUGAGUAUUUUGAUGUACUCUUGGCACCAAUAAAAAAUAAAAAAAUUGAAGAUAAUUUCUAUUGAAUACAGUUGUUCAUGUUGAUUCAACAAGAGUAAUUCAUAUGCUUUGUUUAUACACGAUACAAAUGCUUGUAGGAUAAUUUUCUGAUAUGUUUGAUGCUUAUGUUAAAUAUCCUAUUUUUACAAUUAAGAAAGCCUUCUAGAUACUUUGAGAUAUGCUCAAGAUACUUCUCUAAGAUUUUUCUUUAUUUUUCUUUCAAAAAGAAGAGCUAAGCAUUUAAUUUUGAAUGACCAAUUUUAGAGUUUAUGAUAUUGAUACUAUUAAAUAGAGUUAGGAUUAGGUUUAUGAAUUUAACAAUGAUUAAAUGAUGAGUUUGUAGAAGUUUAUGGAUGCUAUUUUGUAUAUUUACAUUUUUAUGCAUGCUUUUUUGUAUAUCUACAUUCAUAUGCAUAUGUUUAUUUUAAAUUCACAUAUAUUCCAGCCGUAUCAUAUCCUAUUUUUUCAAGAUUUGUCGUAUCAUAAUCGUAUCUGUUUCUUAUAUCUGUGCAUCUAUUUUUCAUAGGUGGGAAUGUGGACCACCAUUUUUAAAGAGCACAUCCUUAAAAAUUGGUAUACUAAGAUUAUGUUCACUUUGCCUGAAUUUGACAAUAUUGAAUAUUGAGAGGCCUUGUCUUGUUUAUACAUGGAAGUUAUAUAUGCAUUGCUUUUAUAGUUUUAUACUAAAUUCUUUGAGUCUUCUUUUAAAUAUUGAAUUUGUGCAUGUUGAGCUUCACCUUAGGUUAUUAUGAUGCAGUUAUAGUUGAUAUUCAAAGUAGAAAACAAACAAAGAACUUUCGCAUAGGUGUAAGUAUAGGGAUAUAUAUAGUUCAAUAUCGAAUUAAGAGAUGCCUUAUAAGGUAUAUACAUAGUUAAAUAUAUCAUUUUCAAGUGAUUACCAUAAUUAUUUCAAUAAAUUUAUUACUUGGAGUUGUUCAUUUCCUUGCAUCCAUGCACUCUUAUAGCUACACUUGUACCAACUUGCACAUGAUUGUGUGAGUACAUUGCACAUGUAUAUCUCAAGAUAUUGUAUUUGCAAAAAUCAGUAGAAUAACAUGCUAUGUUUUGGUGGUGCUGGCUUCAAUAUUAGUGCACUAGAUGGUGAGAGUAUACUUAUAGGUAACAAAGCUUCUUGCCGAGGCUUAAUAAUGAUAUGGGAGUGUUUGCAGCUAUUCGUGUCAUGUAGAAGCUAUCCAAGAUCCACUACCAGGUAGAAAAGUCGGAAUGUGGUUGUUCAUCUAGCCUGUCCUAUACUUGAUAGAAUAUUAUGGCUGUAAAAUUUUGAAGGCUUCACCAAAAUCAAAUGUUGAUAUUUAGUAUUAAGAUCGUAGCUCCUAAUCACUCUUCUAAAAGGUAAUUAUCCGAUUAAAAAAGAGAGAUUUAUUAGCCUUUAUCCACAAAGCACAGAAUCCUACGUCUAUAUGUGCUGCGGGUGGACCUGAGAGGCUCCGUACAGGAGUUGAUCUGCUUCAAGCUAGAUCGAUCCCAGUGGCAGAUGGAGUGGUCACUCUCUUUUUAAUUUUCCAACCGAAGCACAAGCUGACCCCCCAUAAAAGAUCAACCCUCCGAGAAUUGUUGCCACAUCACCAGCCACAUAAACUCCGCGUGGGGGCCCCAAAGGGUGUGCGCUAGAAUAUAGCCAACAAUCUCCUUCCCCUCCCUCGCGACUAUUUGAAGGGCCAAGUAGGAUUCGAACCUACAACCUUGCUCUGAUACCACAUAUUAAGAUCAUAAUCCUUAACCACUCUUCUAAAAGGUAAUUAUCCAAAAGGAGGAAUUUAUUAGCCUUUAUCCAUAAGGCAUAGAAUCCCGUAUCUAUAUGUAAUGCAGGUGGGCUUGGGGGGCUUUGCACUGGAGUCCACCCGCUUCAAGCUAGAUCGACCUCAGCGAUAGGUGGAGCAACAGUCUCCCUUUAAUCUUCCAACCGAGGGAUGAGCCGAACCUCCCAUAAGAGGUCGAUCCUCCGAGAAUUGUUACCACAUCACCAGCCACUUAAACGCCAUGUGGAGGCCUCGAAGGGUGUGCACUGAAAUAUAGACAACAUUUAGGUUACUCGAAAAUAUCAAGGAUAACCGGAUAUGGAGGGAGUUUCUUGUCCCCAAAGCAUGUGUUUUCAAAUUGUCAUUAAAUCUCGUGCAAAAGUAAAAUUUAGAGGAAUAUUGGUCGACUUAUGCAUCGAUAGUUGUAUAGGUGAUUUGUUGUACUAAUACAUUUGAUUUAUCUUGCUAACAUAAAUGACAUUCUCAAAAUUUUCAAUGAUAAAAUCUUCUACUAUUCUUCUUGAAAAUCGUGAUUUACUAUUUUUGAGGUGGAAUUAGAUUAAUAUAGUUGUAUUAUGAUUGUGUUGCUUAUGAGUACUUCUAUAUUUUUGUAUGCAAUGAUUAACAUCAUAGUUUACCAUGUAUUGGACUAUUUUAUCAUUAUUGUUCUAAUGUAGUAUCAUGUUACUUGAUAAACUCAAAUCAAAAUUGCCCAUUAAAUCUGUUGAACAUAUAGAACAAAGUUGUAGCUAGUUUAUAAUAUUGUACGUUGCUCUAGUCCCUUCGCAUUUCCAUCCAAUUCUUUAGGCAUGAGAAAAUCCAAAGAAAUACAAAAUCUCAUAGCAUAAUGACAUUGAAUAAGCAUUGAAAUUCUUAGUUACAUUGCUAAAAGUGGUUGAAACCUUAUUGAAGCAUAUAAUUUUGUGGUGAUUGAUAAUUAUACUAACCUAAUAAUUAGAUUAAUUUUCAAAGGUAGCCACUUCUAAAUAUCUGCAUUUAUGAGCUUCUUAGGUAUUAUAUAGCUCUAUGUUCAUAUACAAAAAAUCAUCAUCAAUGUCAUGAAUACUAAUUGUUGUAUAAAUUUUAAUAUUUACAAUCAAGGCCUUUUAAUAGAGAAAGUGUGGUUCCAUGGGAAAUACAAGAAGCUUAGAUAUUGAGCAAUCUUAUCUAAUGCGGUAUUAUUUACGCAUUGGGGAGAUUUUGGAUACAAGGUUAAAGUUUCGAUAGGAUGGAAGGUAUCUUAGCUAUCCUAUCCUAUUUUUGUGAGAAAAUAGAAUUAAGAUGGGGUCGGAACUCUGAAAUCCAUCCAUAUAGAGAGAGAAGAAGAAAAAAGAAAGAAAGAAGGAAGAAAAGAUAAAGAAAAAAAAAGCGAAGGAAAAGAAGAAGAGAAAAAAUGAAAGAAAGAAAGGAAUGGAUGAAAGAAGGAAGAAAGGAAAGAGAAAGAAGAAAAAAAGAAAAAAAGAAAGGUAGGGAUAAGGGAAGAAAGAAAAGAAGUAAAGAAAGGAAGGCGAAAAAAAGAGAGGAGUAAAGAAAAAAUAAAGAAAGAAAGGAAUGGGAGAAAGAUGGAGGAUAUUUAUUGAGUCACAUGACCGAAAUUGUCAGGAUAGGAUAGGAUAGCAGAACAUUUCAUUCUAUAGAGAAAUUGAAACGCCUCCAUCCCAUGAGAUUUAAAACCUUAGUUGGAUAUUUAGCUUUUGUGGAUGAGAUCCUAGAUCAUAAUAGUACUACUACUAUUAUCCUAUAAAUAUUUGUUGUCUGUUACUAUUAGCCUUUUAGCUAUAGUAUAUGUGCUAAUGUACAUGGCUGUCAAAAAAAUUAUACAUAAGAUGGAUGGACUUUAAAAAGUUUUUAAGAAGAUUAGAUGCUAAACAUAUCUCACAAGGUUAUCAAAAUUUUAUUUACUAUAUCAUGUUCUUAAUCUUUAUCACAUCUUACAAGGUUAGCUUUAUGGAUCUUUCUUCAAUAUUAUCAAUAAUUAAAAUCUUUAAAGGUAUUGAGUUUGUGGACUUAUAUCUCAUGAAAUCUUAGGAGGAUAUAUGAGUUCUUAAUUAUCCACAUGAAUUACUUGAAUGACUAAUUUUUGUUCUCAAAACAUUACCCAAACUGACUACUAGUUAUCCAAGUAUGCUUAUAAAUCACAGUGAUAAAAUUAUACUAUGAUAGUUGUUCAAAAUAAGCAGAAACUAGCCAAAACAUGAAAUUAAUUUUAUUAAUAGACUGAUCUUGGCCAAAAAAAUCUAAUUUGUUUCAAGUAAAAUAGAUUAGUUUUGAGCAAAAUAGGAAGCUUUGAUGCAUUCAUGAAUGCAUAUGGUAUGUUAAACACAAUUAUAUGCAUUUACAUUUGUAAUUUUGUUUGCACAUGCUUGUACAUGUGUGGCAUUUUUACAAGAAUUUCUUGUAAAUUUUCUAUACAAAUGGUGCUUAAUUGGUAGUAAUAAAGUAAGAUACAUCAGAUUGGAUCAUAAGGAAAAUUGUGGUGUGCUUAAAAAAAUAAAAAAAUUACUAUUAUAUAAUUAAAUAUAAAGGAUUUUGAAUUUGGACCCUAUAUUUUAGUUAGAUGUAUUAUGUUAUUUCUGUUCACCAUGUUUAUUUUGACAUAUUAUAAAAUGUAUAUUCGCUAUGAUAGAAGAAAAUUUGUUAGUGUUAUUGAAACAACAAAAAUGAAGAAUGAUUUUAUGGCUAUCAUAUGCAUGCCUAAACAACUAACUGGGCUAUGUUCUAUUGUCAAUGUCUCACUAAAGCUAUUUGACAACUUUGAAGAAGAGUCUAUCAUAAUAUAAGAAUUGAGUUACCACUAAUUUUCUUCUUCUAUUGACCAUGGUAUUAGAUAUUCUUGCUUUAAUUGCUUUUUGAUUUUAUAGAAAAUAUGUGCGAACACAAUCUAGGGUUUAGUAUCUUAUUUUGAAAAUGACUUGGGUAAGGUAUUAUGAUUUAUCAAGGAAUUCUUUUUGUUGCAUUUGAGAGCUUCCCCAUUACACUAAAAAAGAAUCCAGACUUUUCAGCUUCUUUAUUUUUCAAUUCUAGUAUAUUUUUGGCUUUUCUCCCUUACAAAAAUAAAUUCUAGGUGCUUCCACUAUUUCUCAAUUCAUUUUGUCUUUGUGCAUCAAUUUGAGAUGAUUUCUUGGCCAUGGACUUUUAGUAGAAAACCAAACAAUGUCAAAUAUCUGGUUUAUCUUUGAAGAUCUGAAUCAUAUCAUAUAUAACACUUAAAAAUUUGAUCUUCUAAGGCAUGUGUAACUGCCAGUAGUCCUAAAUUACAAUGGAUGCUUGGAGAUUGCAAAUUCUAUAAUUGUAGAACUAUUGCAUUUAUAUUGUAAAUAUUUGCUCACUAGAGUUUGGGAUUUAUGUAGGGACUUGCCCAACCAAAGGCUUCUCCCAUCUUUUUAUUUUUCAAAUUAUUCUGACAUGGCUAACAUAUAUUUAAUAUAUCAUAGAACUUAGUUUGGUUCUUGAUAGAUAGUAAAACCAUCCUUCAGAUAAAAUCUUUCAUCAAUUUUAUGAGCAUAGACUUGGUCUAAUAUUGCUAUCAUAGCCAAGUUGCUGUAUCAUAUAUCAAUUUAUCAUUAUUGUUCAUAGAUAUUUUAGAACAACUAAUUCAAUAUUUCGAUGUACUUUGAGCAUAAUUAAAAAUAAGAAUUGGCAGAUAAUACCCAUUGAAUAUAGGUGCCCUUUGUAAGAUAGAUUUUGUCCAGUGUGUCCUGGAGUUUUUUGUUUGAUCUCCUAUAUAUCCCAUUGAAGCUUUGAUAGAAAAUGGAUAGCAUGGAUCAAGGUACUACUUCAAUCAUCUAAUUCAGCAUUGGUUAUCAAUAAUUCUUUGGGAAAGUGGUGCCGUAACAAGAAGGGUCUAAAGCAAGUUAAUCCUCUCUCUCCCCUAUUAUUCAUUCUAGUAACCGAUUUCCUCACAAAAAUUAUGAAGAAAGCCAAUUCAGAAAAGCUGAUCUAUGGAAUUGGUCCACAUGGCUUAGAGCGGCUCACGCAGUGUCUACAAGUUGCUGAUGACACUCUGGUCUUUUGUAAAGUAGAUAAAUCAAACAUCAACUCACUCAAGUAAAUCUUGUAAAGUUUUGAAUUAGAAAUAGGUUUAAGCAUAAACUUUCAAAAAACUCAACUCAUCGGCUUGGGAAUCGAUGAGUAUUUAACUUUUAACCUUCGCUCAAUGCUCGGUUGUAAGGUAGCUAAGCUAUCCACUUGCUACUUGGGUAUUCCUCUUCAUCAUUCAAAGUUGAACAAAAAAAAUUGGUCCUUUCUCCUUGAUAAAAUAUCAAAGAAGCUGAGUGGAUGGAAAUGGAAGAUAUUGAUUCUUGCUGGUCAAAUUACGUUAACAAAUUUGGUACUUAGAGCCAUUCCCAUCUACUAGGAUGUUAGUGUUGAAGCUUCCUCCGGUGGUUAUUUGAAAAAUCAACCAUUUAUGCCGACAAUUUAUAUGGGAUAGCCAACAAUCUCAAAGCAACAUUAAACAUCUACUGGACUGGAAUCAAAUCUGCAGACCAAGAAGGCAUGGAGGAUUAGGAGUUUUAAGAAUCUCAUUACUCUCAAUCAGGCCUUCCUGCUCAAAUGGUGGUGGAGAUACUUUAACAAUCAGCAAAAGCCAUAGUGUCUGCUACUAAAAGCCAUUUAUCAUGCGAGAAGGUUGCCUAUGAAACUAUUGAGGUGCUUACUAAGAAUCACCUCACCUAUCUAAAGAAAUAUAUAUUAAACUUGUUUGAUCUGUUCAAACAGUAUUUUCACCCGAAGGUAGGCCAUGGGUGUCAAAUCCACUUUUGGCAUGAUAACUAGCUUGGGGAGAGCGAAUUAAAACUCUUCUUGCCUAAUCUAUUCUACUUUGCUAGAAACCAAAAUAGCUUGGUGAGAGAGUUCCUCCUUCAGAGCAAUUUCAAAAUGAAAUUCAGAUACCCACUAAGCCCGCAAGCAAUGAGGGAGCUCCAGAACCUUACAUUACUUCUCCGGUCUUCAUCUUUGUCCUCUGAUCCCAACAAAUGUAAUUGGAAGUAGAAUGCAAAUGGCAUAUAUCAAGUAAGACACUAUGAUAACUUUUUCAUGUACGGUAGAGUGAUCUCUCGCAUUGGUGAAUUCAUAUGCAAGCUUUCUAUCCUAGAGAAGGCUAAACUUCUCUUCUGAUUUUGUUAUCAUGACAAAAUUUUGACGGUAGAAAAAUUUAUCAGGAGAAAUAUCAACAUCAUAGGAAGAUACCCACUAUACGAUGAAAAUGAGGAAUCGUUGAACCACCUUCUGAUAUAGUGUGAUUAUUCCAAAGCCUUCUGGUCCACCAUUCUAUCAAAAUUUAAUGUUCCAGAACUACCAACCUCUGUCAUAGGAGUUUGGGAUUUUUUGGAGGCAUUUACAACAUAUGAACAAUAAUCGGUUUCCAGCUUUCCAAUGUUUAAUCGCUACUGGUGUGUGGUGUCUAUAGAAAAAAUGCAACCUCCAGAUUUUUCAUUUCUGAGCCACCAUGCCUCCUGCGGCGGUAAGGAAAGCAGUCAACUUGCCCAUUUCAGAGCUGGACUUCUAUCGUCUCUCAUCCAAAUGUUUGGCACCUGGUCAGUCAACUUGCCCAUUUAUCUAACACCAUUGGCAACCAGAGAAGUCUGUUGGGUUAAACUCUUCAAUGCUUGGUGAGCUUUAAGCAAAAGAGCCCUGCGUAAGAUAUCGUGCAUGGGGCGCAUCCUAGAGGCCGUCCUUCUACCCAAG